GAGAUAGGCUUGCUAGCACUGAAGACUGCUAAUCUUCAGCACCCUGGUUGGACCCCAGGGCUAACUCG
rnacentral:tRNA from 1 species